rnacentral:rRNA from 1 species
UACAGAGGUCUCGAGCGUUGUUCGGAUUCAUUGGGCGUAAAGGGCGCGUAGGCGGCGGGGUAAGUCUGGUGUGAAAUCUCGGAGCUCAACUCCGAAAUUGCACUGGAUACUGCUCUGCUAGAGGGCUGGAGAGGAGAUCGGAAUUCACGGUGUAGCAGUGAAAUGCGUAGAGAUCGUAAGGAAGACCAGUGGCGAAGGCGAGUUUCUGGACGGUAACUGACGCUGAGGAGCGAAAGCGUGGGGAGCGAACAGG